rnacentral:rRNA from 1 species
AUUGAACGCUGGCGGCAGGCCUAACACAUGCAAGUCGAGCGGAUGAGUGGAGCUUGCUCCAUGAUUCAGCGGCGGACGGGUGAGUAAUGCCUAGGAAUCUGCCCUGGUAGUGGGGGGACAACGUUUCGAAAGGAACGCUAAUACCGCAUACGUCCUACGGGAGAAAGCAGGGGACCUUCGGGCCUUGCGCUAUCAGAUGGGCCUAGGUCGGAUUAGCUAGUAGGUGAGGUAAUGGCUCACCAAGGCGACGAAUCCGUAACUGGUCUGAGAGGAUGGAUCAGUCACACUGGAACUGAGACACGGUCCAGACUCCUACGGGAGGCAGCAGUGGGGAAUAUUGGACAAUGGGCGAAAGGACCUGAGU